rnacentral:rRNA from 1 species
UACGUAGGGACCAAGCGUUGUCCGGAAUCACUGGGCGUAAAGGGUGCGUAGGCGGGUCUUUAAGUCAGGGGUGAAAUCCUGGAGCUCAACUCCAGAACUGCCUUUGAUACUGAAGAUCUUGAGUUCGGGAGAGGUGAGUGGAACUGCGAGUGUAGAGGUGAAAUUCGUAGAUAUUCGCAAGAACACCAGUGGCGAAGGCGGCUCACUGGCCCGAUACUGACGCUGAGGCACGAAAGCGUGGGGAGCAAACAGG